UACAGAGGCCUCAAGCGUUGUUCGGAAUCACUGGGCGUAAAGGGUGCGUAGGCGGCGCGGAAAGUCAGGGGUGAAAUCCCGGAGCUCAACUCCGGAACUGCCUUUGAUACUCCCGCGCUUGAGAACUGGAGGGGAGAUCGGAAUUCACGGUGGAGCAGUGAAAUGCGUGGAUAUCGUGAGGAACACUAGUGGCGAAAGGCG
rnacentral:rRNA from 1 species